UUANACCUCCCAAUGGAUUGACCGGGGGCCGCACCAAGGCGGUGGAGCAUUGUUUUAUUCGAAGCCACGCGAAGAACCCUACCUGCCUUGACAUCCUGCGAACCUUCUAGAGAUAGAUUGGGGCCCUCGGGGAACGCAGUGACCGGGUGCUGCAUGGGCUGUCGUCAGCUCGUGUCCGUGAGAUGUUGGGUUUAGUCCCGUUACGAGCGCCACCCUUAUCCUCAGUUACCAGCACGUUAUGGUGGCACUCUGGGAGACUGCCGUGACAAACCGGAGAAGGUGGGGACGACGUCAGUCAUCAUGGCCUUACGGCCAGGGCUACACACGUGCUACAAUGGCCGUAUACAGACCGGUUCGCUAAGCCGGCGAGGGUGAAGGCUAAUUCUGAGAAAGUUACGUCGUAGUCCGGAUUGGAGUCCUGCAACUCGACUCCAUGAAGUCGGGAAUCGCUAGUAAUCGUGAAUCAGAAUGUCCACGGGUGAAUACGUUCCCCGGCCCUGGUUACACACCGCCCGUCACACCAUGGGGAGUGGGUUGCUCCAGAAGUGCUAGUCUUACUUCGGGAGGACGGUCAACCACGGAGUGAUUCGAUGACUGUGGGU
rnacentral:rRNA from 1 species